rnacentral:rRNA from 1 species
CUGAACUUAGCCCAAACCCUAACAAAUACAAGUAUACACAUGCACCUAAAACAAAACAUUUACAACAUCAUCAAAGUAUAGGAGAUAGAAAUUUUAAUUGGCGCUAUAGAGAAAGUACCGCAAGGGAACAAUGAAAGACGAUACUAAAGCAACAAACAGCAAAGAUUACCCCUUGUACCUUUUGCAUAAUGAUUUAACUAGACUAAAUUAGCAAAGAGAACUUAAGUUAAUCUCCCCGAAACCAGACGAGCUAUCCACAAGCAGCCCGCAGAGCACACUCAUCUAUGUGGCAAAAUAGUGAGAAGACUUAUGGAUAGAGGUGACAAGCCUAACGAGCCUGGUGAUAGCUGGUUGUCCAGAAAAGAACUUCAGUUCGAAUUUAAGCCUACCUACAAAAUCUCAUAAUUCCACUGUAGACUUAAAGAAUAAUCUAAAGGGGGACAGCCCUUUAGACACAGGCUUACAACCUUAACUAGAGAGUAAGUACACUAAAUAGACCAUAGUUGGCCUAAAAGCAGCCAUCAAUAAAGAAAGCGUUCAAGCUCGACAACUAUAUCCCCACUAAUUCCAAUAUCUAUUAACCAACUCCUAGUGUAAAUACUGGACUACUCUAUGACUACAUAGAAGAAAUACUGUUAAUAUGAGUAACAAGAAACUAUUUCUCCCAGCAUAAGUGUAUAUCAGAACGAAUACUCACUGAUAGUUAACGCAAAUAAAGUAAACCAAAUAACAAGCCCUUUAUCACCCCACCGUUAACCCAACACAGGACUGCUUUACAGGGAAAGAUUAAAAGGAGUAAAAGGAACUCGGCAAACACAAACCCCGCCUGUUUACCAAAAACAUCACCUCUAGCAUUCCUAGUAUUAGAGGCACUGCCUGCCCAGUGACACACGUUCAACGGCCGCGGUAUUCUGACCGUGCAAAGGUAGCAUAAUCACUUGUUCCUUAAAUAGGGACUUGUAUGAAUGGCCACACGAGGGUUUUACUGUCUCUUACUCCCAAUCAGUGAAAUUGACCUUCCCGUGAAGAGGCGGGAAUACCACAAUAAGACGAGAAGACCCUAUGGAGCUUCAAUUAAUUAACCUAAGAAUAAAGCAUACAACCCAAAAGGACCAAAAUAAUUUCACAUAGGUUAACAAUUUAGGUUGGGGUGACCUCGGAGUACAAAAGACCCUCCGAGUGACUUUAAGCCUAGACCCACUAGUCAAAGCCACAACACUUAUUGAUCCAAACUUAUUUGAUCAACGGAACAAGUUACCCUAGGGAUAACAGCGCAAUCCUAUUCAAGAGUCCCUAUCGACAAUAGGGUUUACGACCUCGAUGUUGGAUCAGGACAUCCCGAUGGUGCAGCAGCUAUCAAAGGUUCGUUUGUUCAACGAUUAAAGUCCUACGUGAUCUGAGUUCAGACCGGAGCAAUCCAGGUCGGUUUCUAUCUAUUAUAUGUCUCUCCCAGUACGAAAGGACAAGAGAGACGGGGCCACCUUACAAAUAAGCGCCCCCCCACCCAACAGAUGAUACAAUCUUAAUCUGACAUGUUAUAAAAAUUCCUCCCCUAGAACAGGGCU